UCAACUUUUUCUUCUAAUGUCAUGACUUUUUUCUGCUUCUUGGGAGCACCUCCAGAAUCACUAGUGGCACUUCGUAGGAGUCUCAUUAUGCAGAGCUUAAGGUACUGCACUACACAUGAUGAAAAAUAUGUGAGAACCUCAAGAGAUUACUUUUUACUUCUAUGUGCAAUUUCCUGGAGAGACAACUGCUCACGCGGAGAUGAUGAACAUCACUUGGUGUUUUAAGCAGUACUCGCAGCUCUUGAGCUUCACCACAAUAGCAACAGGAGGUGACUACAAAAUUGUUACAGUAGUACAAUAUCCACUACAGUUGAUUUAUGUUGAUUUACAUUGCUCAUCUAUAAAUGGUGCCACGUAUGGUCUGUAUGUGUAUGUAAGUUUUGGUAAAUUUUAACUUUUUAUAAUAGAUUUGUGUAUAUUUUAUGGUAGUAAAUGAUAAAAAUAGACUAGUUUCCACAUAUAUUUUAUACAUUCACAACAUACCUAACUUUUUCUUAAUUCUUUUGAUAUUUCUAGGCUAUGUGGUUCAUCUGAGCUUUUUCAAAUUUUCACACAUCUCCAAAAAAUUUUGCAACACAUUUAUUGAAAAGAAUCCAAAUAUAUGUGGACCCAUGAAGUUCAAAGUCAUGUUGUUCAAGGGUCAACUGUGUUUUAAUUUUUACUAAGUCAGUGUGGCUUUUCAGAAUUUUCACCAUGAUGUUUUAUAACUUAGCAUUUCUUUUGGUCGUCCCAGUAACUUUUGCUCCCAUUUUCUACAAGUAUUUCUUUUUUAAAAAGGCAAAAUGACAUUCAGUUUCUUAAUGUCUCACCAUGUACCUUCAUAACAUUUGAAGAGCAGCUUAUCUGAUGAGUGCUGAGAGGGCAAAGGCAGUGGGCACUGAUUUCCCAUGAAGUUCAUCUCUUGUUGGUACUGCCAGUUCCCACAAUCCUAGCAUUCUCUGGGCAUCAGUCAGUGUCUACAAAAAAGGAUUUUCAAAUAUUAAAGCAUGUGAAAAGACAAACAGGCCAAAACUCAGAGCUCUCUAGGGACUAUGACCUCCAAAACAGACUCCAUUCUGACAUUUUCACAGGCUACUUGAAGGAAUUCCAGCAGGGUUGUUCCAUUUGGUAAACUCCUAAACAAACCCUCUGUCAUCGAGGACUGAUUUAUAGAAUUUUCUCCUUAUGUGCUUGUUCUGAAGAGAUUAAGAUAGUAGAUAUGGUUGCUGAGACUCUUUUAAAAGUCAUUUGAUAUAUAUGAUAAGUACUAUACAGAAGAUUUUUGGUAUUUUGAAGUAAUAAAACAGUUAUUUGUAAUGUUUAAAGAGAUUUUGUGUUCUGAGUUGUCUUCUAAGUUCUUUUUCUUUUUGAUUCCAGGAAAUCUAUGUCAUAAUCACAUCUCUAAAUUAAGUUUUUUUCAUUAUAAACCCAAUCAUUUAACAAAGAAAUUGAAUAAAUUCAGAAAUUAUCUUUGUAUAAACAAGUAUGUUAAAAACAUGUUUAUGCAUAUAUAUAAAUAUAUACAUAUGAUAUACAUAUAUCAUAUGUUUUACAAUGACCUUUAGAAUAUGUGAAACAGAAACAGUUCGGUUGUUAUAGAAUAUUCUUCUAUGAAAUCUUGGUGUAAUGGCAGCUGUUUAGAUGAUGCUGUAAGGUCACUAGAGGGGGUGGAUCUAUAAGUUGUUUUUCAAUUAAUCUGGAUCCUCUUAAAAUAUUUUAUUGUGUAUUUUUAUGCAUUUCUUUUUUUAAAAAGAAGAAUAUAAUGCUAAAAAUAAAGGAGAAGGGCAGAACCCAAGAGAUUUGGAGCCUGGAGAACUUAAGGAAAUGGGUAGUUGGGAUUUAUUUGGCUUGUAGUUGUCCUUAACUGCUAACAGCCUCAUGGUGGUCUCAUCUGAAGUCUGUGAGUGGCAUGUAUGAAAUUCCAGGGUGAACGGCAUUCCACAUUGGGAGGACCAGGUUUGUUGGGGAAUUUUUGUAUGGUUUGUUUCCUUCUUCGUGUGUUUCUUUUUAAUCCUUUAAAUGAAUUCUUUAACUGAAUUAACAGAGUUUUAACUGCUAAAUAAAAGUCCUAUACAAUCAAAAAUUUCUUAAGAUUUGAUAUCUGAUUCUGUUGUAGGAAUGUAAUAUAUUUUGGGAAUGAGUUUAAAAAUGGGACACAGGCAAGUAAAUUGAUUUAUGAUGCUUUCAACCAAGCUUCACAAAAUUAGUACUAAAAAUAAAAUUCAUGUUAUCAUAUUCUAAUAACCUGUCAUAAACCUAGCAUAUUUUAGGUCUCCUUAGUGGAAAAAAAAGAAAGGAAAUGAAAGUGAAAUAAUAAAUUGCUUAAUUGGUCAAAAUUAGUUAUUGAGUUCUUGGCUGUACUAGAGAAUUGUGUGGCUCUUAAUUGAUGUUUAAAAUAUAAAUAAAAUGUGUAUGCUGAAAAAG
rnacentral:lncRNA from 1 species